AUGAAGAAGGGAUUGAGCCGCUCCGUCAUGGUGGCACCGACCGGCGCCGCCGCCGCCAGGGAACCGCUCCGUCCAUUCCGACCGUCGAAGGCGUUGGUGUCCACGGAGAUAUGCCCACGCCGGUGCCCACGGCGAGGCAGUGCCUCUCGCGGUGGCCGUCACGGCCCUGGAUGCCGCGGUCGUCUCCGCGCAACGCAGGGUGCACGCGUAGACCACAUCGAUCCACCUCGUCGCCGUGUUGCUUGCGCAGCAGGCCCCGCCGUUCCUCCGCGAUGCGCUCGCCUCUGCUUCACCGUCUCCCUCGACAGGCUCCCCUCCGCCUCCGCCUCCGCCUCCUCGUCGGCCUCGGGCGCCGUCGAGCAGCCGGAGCCGCCCAUGUCCAACUCGCUCAUGGUGGCCAUCAAGCGCUCGCAGGCCAACCAGCGCCGCAACCCGGACACCUACCACUUCUACCACCAGGCCGCCACCGCCGCCUCGCAGGUCAGGGUCGAGCUCUCGCAGCUCCUGCUCGCCAUCCUCAAUGACCCCGUUGUUAGCCGCGUCUUCGACAAUGCAGGCUUCCGCAGCGCUGACAUCAAGCUCGCCAUCCUCCGCCUCGCGCCGCCCAUGCCGCUGCUCGGCCACCUCCCUACGCGGGCCCGCCCGCCGCCUCUCUUCCUCUGCAGCUUCGCCACCGCCGCCGCCGAUGCCGACGUGCCCUCGCCCGCCGGGAGCAUCGCCGGAGGCGCCGGGGAGGAGAAUGGCCGCCGCACCGCCGAGAUCCUUACCCGCGGCCGCAACCCCAUGCUCGUCGGUGUCGGGGCCGCGUCCGCCGCUGCAAACUUCGCCGAGGCCUCGCCGGACCACGUCCUCCCCCGUCUGUCCAAACUCCAUCGACCAAACAGAACUCGGCAUGGAGACGUCGAUGGCUAG
rnacentral:rRNA from 1 species